rnacentral:rRNA from 1 species
GAUGAACGCUGGCGGCGUGCCUAAUACAUGCAAGUCGAGCGAACGGACGAGAAGCUUGCUUCUCUGAUGUUAGCGGCGGACUGGUGAGUAACACGUGGAUAACCUACCUAUAAGACUGGGAUAACUUCGGGAAACCGGAGCUAAUACCGGAUAAUAUUUUGAACCGCAUGGUUCAAAAGUGAAAGACGGUCUUGCUGUCACUUAUAGAUGGAUCCGCGCUGCAUUAGCUAGUUGGUAAGGUAACGGCUUACCAAGGCAACGAUGCAUAGCCGACCUGAGAGGGUGAUCGGCCACACUGGAACUGAGACACGGUCCAGACUCCUACGGGAGGCAGCAGUAGGGAAUCUUCCGCAAUGGGCGAAAGCCUGACGGAGCAACGCCGCGUGAGUGAUGAAGGUCUUCGGAUCGUAAAACUCUGUUAUUAGGGAAGAACAUAUGUGUAAGUAACUGUGCACAUCUUGACGGUACCUAAUCAGAAAGCCACGGCUAACUACGUG